CCCUUAGAUGUUCUGGGCGGCCCGCGCACUACAUUGGCACUGGCAACAAGGUCCUAGAUCUGAUAUUUCGGGGUAUUCUACCAACUGGUGUCGUGACUGGGAUUAACCCCUGCAAUUAUUGGUUAUGAACGAGGAAUUCCUUGUAAUCACGGUUUAUCAACCCGUGUUGAAUGCGUCCCUGCCCUUUGUACACACCGCCCGUCGCUCCUACCGAUGAAUCGUCCGGUGAAGUUCAUGGAGUCGCGGCUGCUCCAGCUGUUUUCGAAGUGAAAUGGACCUCAUGAUUUAGAGGAAGGAGAAGUCGUAACA
rnacentral:rRNA from 1 species